CCUGUUGCUAAUCACGUGACUGCCGCGCUCUCUUUGGCAGGUUUAUGAUGAAGUCAUCUAACUAGGGACAAAGCCGCUCACUGGACACCAUCUUCAUCUUUGCUUUAGACCCCUCGUCAGCGGUCAGAUUUUUUUCAUUGCUGAUUUUCUUCUCAAAAUGACGGCGAGCUACCUACACAUCGCUUCGCGAUGGAGCCAUCUGUUGAGCUGAUGGAGUUUGGGAUGGUGAGCCUCUGCAGGGAUCCGUUUGGAGAAUCCAGGUUGAGUUGAGGCAGAGAGAUGGCGUUCUUGAUGAUGGGCGAGAUGUCUGGCGGCGGCGACGAGAAGUCCCGCGCUUCUCCCCGCGGCCCGGAAUUCUUCCGUAUGUGCCUGAAAGUGCGCGUGAAAAAGCCGUUGGAUUUGGAGCUGUGUGCCGAGUCCGGGCUGCCCGGUUCCUUGGCGCCGCCGUAGUUGCUCAGGAAGGAAGUGUCUCCAAACACGUCUCCGCCGCGGCCCACGUGCAUGGUGUGGCGGAAGUCGCCCAUGGGCGGGCUGAUCAUGUCCACGGACAGGUCGCCCUUGAAACGACGGC